UACUCCCGCCGGCGACCGGCGCACGGGUGAGUAACACGUAUGAAACCUGCCCGUAGCAGGGGGAUAAGCGGAAGAAAUUCCGUCUAAUACCGCGUAACAACCCGAGGAGGCAUCUCCUCGGGUUUAAAGGAAGCGAUUCCGGCUACGGAUGGUCAUGCGUCGCAUUAGCUAGUUGGCGGGGUAACGGCCCACCAAGGCGACGAUGUGUAGGGGUUCUGAGAGGAAGGUCCCCCACACUGGUACUGAGACACGGACCAGACUCCUACGGAAGGCAGCAG
rnacentral:rRNA from 1 species